rnacentral:lncRNA from 10 species
CCAGUGUAAGCAAGUGUGCGUUUCUUCCCGGCACUCCUGUAUCAGCAAUCUGUUUACAAGGUGUCGAUGACACGUGGCUGAACACAUCUGGGUCAGGAGGACCCUGAGCUUGGAUUCGGAUCUACCCAGGUUGGGGUCAAGAAACACUCUCUCGGAGGCAGGUCCCCCAGCUUCGUGACACUGUCACAGCUUUCUUCAUUGUCCCCAAGGUUCUUUGGGUGCUUUUUCUUUUAGGGAGUUCAAUGGGCCAGCCUGGCCAACAUGGUGAAACCCCAUCUCUACUAAAAAUACAAAAAAAUUAGCUGGGAGUGGUGGCAGGCGCCUGCAAUCCCAGCUACUUGGGAGGCUGAGGCAGGAGAAUUUCUUGAACCCAGGAGGCAGAGGUUGCAAUGAGCCGACACUGGCCAUUGCACCCCAGCCUAGGCAAGAAGAGUGAAACUCCGUCUAAAAAAAAAAAAGUGACACAGAGCUGAGACAUGAGUGUGAGUGUGUAGGAAAAAGUCUAGAAUACACAUCAAAGUGAGAGGAUUGGUCACCUGAGGGAAUAGUGAGACUGCGUACAUGUAUUUUGUUACUUUAAAUAACAAUUUGUAAAGCAGUAGAUGUCAUCUCAGCUGGGCCCCUCACACAUGUGUGGUCAGCUGCAGGUCGCAUGGCAGCUGUGUCUGGGAAUCAUCUGGCUGUUGGCUGGGGUGACAGAUGCAAGAGAGGUGACUAGGAUUCAGCAGGGAGCCUCUACCCUCACCCCCGCAGUCUAGUCCCCACACACGGGCAGAGGGAUCCCUUCAGCCCAGAUGAGACCAUGGCCCUCCUCAGCUCCCACCACCUGUGUCUCCCACCUCCCUCGGGGUAAAAGUCAAAGUCCCCAAGAAGCCUACAAGGCCCCCGUGACCUGGCCCCAUCUCUCCCUGUCCCUGGCUCCAACUCACUGGCCUCCCCUCUGUUCCCACCUACUGGGCCCAUUGGAAUCUUCAAACUUGCUGUCCCCUUUGCUAGGAACAUGUGUCCCCAGAUGUCUGAAUGGCUUGCUCUGUCACCUCCUUCUGGUCAUUACUAAAAUAUCACCUUCUCAGCUAGGCCUCCUCUAAAACAGUAAACCCCCUCGCAUAACACACAUACACACGCACCACAUACCCGCUCCCUCCAGACUGCCAGUGGUCAGACUCGCUUUAGAUUUUCUGUGUUUAUUGUCUGACCCCCACCAUGACAAAGAUCUGUACUGAUCUUGUCAUGAGGGGUGUGUAUAAGGCCCUCUUUCUGCACAGAGGAGGUGCUAUCUACAAGGGUUUUGAAGGUUGAAUAGAAGUUUGUGAGGUGGGCAGAGGUGGGCAUCAUUCCAAGCAAAGAGAAUUACAUUUGCAAAAGAACAGAGUCACGUGGCAGUGAGAGUUGUGGAGGGAGCUGCACACCACUCGGGGCUGUUGGAGCGUAAAUGAAAAGAUGCUAUGUGUAUGAGUCCGCUAGGGCCAGC